rnacentral:rRNA from 1 species
GAGGAAUAUUGGUCAAUGGGUGCAAGCCUGAACCAGCCAUCCCGCGUGAAGGACGACUGCCCUAUGGGUUGUAAACUUCUUUUGUAUAGGGAUAAACCUACCCUCGUGAGGGUAGCUGAAGGUACUAUACGAAUAAGCACCGGCUAACUCCGUGCCAGCAGCCGCGGUAAUACGGAGGGUGCAAGCGUUAUCCGGAUUUAUUGGGUUUAAAGGGUCCGUAGGCGGACUUAUAAGUCAGUGGUGAAAGCCUGUCGCUUAACGAUAGAACUGCCAUUGAUACUGUAAGUCUUGAGUAUAUUUGAGGUAGCUGGAAUAAGUAGUGUAGCGGUGAAAUGCAUAGAUAUUACUUAGAACACCAAUUGCGAAGGCAGGUUACCAAGAUAUAACUGACGCUGAGGGACGAAAGCGUGGGGAGCGAACAG